GCCCACUGAUAAUUAUUAAAGGGCCGCAGUAUUUUGACUGUGCGAAGGUAGCAUAAUCAAUAGUCUUUUAAUUGAAGGCUUGUAUGAAUGGUUGAAUGAGAUAUAUACUGUCUUUUUUAAAUUUUUAUAGAAUUUUAUUUUUUAAUUAAAAAGUUAAAAUGUAAUUAAAAGACGAGAAGACCCUAUAGAUCUUUAUUUUUGUUGAUUAUAAAUUAAAAAGAAUAAUUAAAUUUAUAGUUUAAUAAAAAAUUUUACUGGGGUGGUAUUAAAAUUUAAAAAACUUUUAUUUUUUGUUUACAUUAAUUUAUGAAUAUUUGAUCCAAUUUUAUUGAUUAAAAAAUUAAGUUACCUUAGGGAUAACAGCGUAAUUUUUUUUUAGAGUUCUUAUCGACAAAAAAGAUUGCGACCUCGAUGUUGGAUUAAGAGUUAUUUUUAGGUGUAGAAGUUUAAAGUUUAGGUCUGUUCGACCUUUGAAUUCUUACAUGAUCUGAGUUCAAACCGGCGUAAGCCAGGUUGGUUUCUAUCUUUAAUUAAAUAUUAUAUUAUAGUACGAAAGGACCUAAUAUAAAAAAUAUAAAUUUUAAUUUUAUGAAUUAUAUUAAUAUUUAAUAAAACUAUUUUGGCAGAUUAGUGCAAUAAAUUUAGAAUUUAUUUAUAUAAUUUAAUUAAUUAUAAAUAGUAUUGUUUUAUAUAGAUUAUUUAUUAUCAUUAAUUGGAAGUUUAUUAUUAGUAAUUUGUGUAAUAGUGGGAGUAGCUUUUUUAACUUUAUUAGAACGUAAAGUUUUAGGUUAUAUUCAAAUUCGA
rnacentral:rRNA from 1 species